GAUGAACGCUGGCGGCGUGCCUAAUACAUGCAAGUCGAGCGAAUGGAUUAAGAGCUUGCUCUUAUGAAGUUAGCGGCGGACGGGUGAGUAACACGUGGGUAACCUGCCCAUAAGACUGGGAUAACUCCGGGAAACCGGGGCUAAUACCGGAUAACAUUUUGAACCGCAUGGUUCGAAAUUGAAAGGCGGCUUCGGCUGUCACUUAUGGAUGGACCCGCGUCGCAUUAGCUAGUUGGUGAGGUAACGGCUCACCAAGGCAACGAGGCGUAGCCGACCUGGGGGGUGGAUCGGCCACACUGGGACUGAGACACGGCCCAGACGCCUACGGGAGGCAGCAGUAGGGAAUCUUCCGCAAUGGACGAAAGUCUGACGGAGCAACGCCGCGUGAGUGAUGAAGGCUUUCGGGUCGUAAAACUCUGUUGUUAGGGAAGAACAAGUGCUAGUUGAAUAAGCUGGCACCUUGACGGUACCUAACCAGAAAGCCACGGCUAACUACGUGCCAGCAGCCGCCGUAA
rnacentral:rRNA from 1 species